rnacentral:rRNA from 1 species
ACGAACGCUGGCGGCGUGCUUAACACAUGCGAGUCGAACGGUGAAGCUCCAGCUUGCUGGAGUGGAUCAGUGGCGAACGGGUGAGUAACACGUGAGCAACCUGCCCCUGACUCUGGAAUAAGCGCUGGAAACGGCGUCUAAUACUGGAUACGAGAAGGGUCCGCAUGGGCACUUUCUGGAAAGUUUUUCGGUUGGGGAUGGGCUCGCGGCCUAUCAGCUUGUUGGUGAGGUAAUGGCUCACCAAGGCGACGACGGGUAGCCGGCCUGAGAGGGCGACCGGCCACACUGGGACUGAGACACGGCCCAGACUCCUACGGGAGGCAGCAGUGGGGAAUAUUGCACAAUGGGCGAAAGCCUGAUGCAGCGACGCCGCGUGAGGGAUGACGGCCUUCGGGUUGUAAACCUCUUUCAGCAGGGAAGAAGCGAAAGUGACGGUACCUGCAGAAGAAGCACCGGCUAACUACGUG